GGCGGACGGGUGAGUAACGCGUGAGAAUCUGCCUUUAGGACGGGGACAACAGUUGGAAACGGCUGCUAAAACCCGAUGUGCCCUUCGGGGUGAAAUAUUUAUAGCCUGAAGAUGAGCUCGCGUCUGAUUAGCUAGUAGGUGCGGUAAUGGCGUACCUAGGCGACGAUCAGUAACUGGUCUGAGAGGAUGACCAGUCACACUGGGACUGAGACACGGCCCAG
rnacentral:rRNA from 1 species